CGUAAUUAUUCAUUUUUUCGUUAUAAAAAAGACCAAUUUUAAGUCGCCUAUGAAUAUUUUUCGAAAAAAUUGCAACAGGAAAAGUCAGAAUAGCCUGUAGUUUUAGCAAUAGUCGACUUUUACUUGAAACAUGCAGAUAAUUGUGACCAAUCACAAUCCGUGAAAAUUUUUAUUUUUAAUUGACAUUUUGGACUGCCAAUCAAACUUUGUCAGAAAAAGUUACAAACAGGAGUGAACAGUCAGUAUAAUUUGAUAAUUUGUUAGAGUGAAUACUUAUCUAAACCAUAAAAACCAAGAAGCAUUCAAGGUGCACAUUGCCUUUUAGAUAAUACCUCGUUGAAAAGUAUUUUUCUUAAAUGGAUUUAGAUCCAUUCAACUAUUAAUAACCAAAAUGAAAAUUGUUUUGGGAUAGUUUUCAUUUUCUCAAAAAUGGAUUUUGGACAUUUACACCCACAUGGAACGUUAUUUUCAUAUAAUUUUUGAAUUAAUUGGGCACGAUGGUGUUGAGAACGUGGCUUUUUGUACUGAAACCAAAGACAUAAAUUUGAACAAAACGAUUUGAACAGUAAUUUUGAAAAUGGUAACGAUGGACCAACAUGACCAACUCAUUGGUUGGAUUUUCAUGUUUUCUUACAUUAAGACAAAUGUGCCAAAACUUAUAACAUUGAAGAAGUUGUGGAAGCUUAUUAGCUUACAACUAUGUAUAAAUAAGCAAGAGAUUUUUUUAAACUUUAGAAUACACUUUAGACCAUUUUUAAACCUCCGUUGGAAUCUGACAUAAUUUGAAGCUUCCAGGAGACUCACUAAUGUUAUUAAAGAAUAUGGAACACAAGUUGUUCUCUUGGUUGUUAUAUUAAUACAAACCAAAGUACUUCAUGUGGUGGAAACUUGAUUUGAUGCGUUUUUAUUAUUUUAAAAAGACAACUACACUUACAAUAAAGACUCCUGCGACGACGAAGUUUAACUAUGGUUUCAUUUAUUU